rnacentral:rRNA from 1 species
AAAUUGAAGAGUUUGAUCAUGGCUCAGAUUGAACGCUGGCGGCAGGCCUAACACAUGCAAGUCGAACGGUAACAGGAAGCAGCUUGCUGCUUCGCUGACGAGUGGCGGACGGGUGAGUAAUGUCUGGGAAACUGCCUGAUGGAGGGGGAUAACUACUGGAAACGGUGGCUAAUACCGCAUAACGUCGCAAGACCAAAGAGGGGGACCUUCGGGCCUCUUGCCAUCAGAUGUGCCCAGAUGGGAUUAGCUUGUUGGUGAGGUAACGGCUCACCAAGGCGACGAUCCCUAGCUGGUCUGAGAGGAUGACCAGCCACACUGGAACUGAGACACGGUCCAGACUCCUACGGGAGGCAGCAGUGGGGAAUAUUGCACAAUGGGCGCAAGCCUGAUGCAGCCAUGCCGCGUGUAUGAAGAAGGCCUUCGGGUUGUAAAGUACUUUCAGCGGGGAGGAAGGUGUUGUGGUUAAUAACCACAGCAAUUGACGUUACCCGCAGAAGAAGCACCGGCUAACUCCGUGCCAGCAGCCGCGGUAAUACGGAGGGUGCAAGCGUUAAUCGGAAUUACUGGGCGUAAAGCGCACGCAGGCGGUCUGUCAAGUCGGAUGUGAAAUCCCCGGGCUCAACCUGGGAACUGCAUUCGAAACUGGCAGGCUUGAGUCUUGUAGAGGGGGGUAGAAUUCCAGGUGUAGCGGUGAAAUGCGUAGAGAUCUGGAGGAAUACCGGUGGCGAAGGCGGCCCCCUGGACAAAGACUGACGCUCAGGUGCGAAAGCGUGGGGAGCAAACAGGAUUAGAUACCCCGGUAGUCCACGCCGUAAACGAUGUCUACUUGGAGGUUGUGCCCUUGAGGCGUGGCUUCCGGAGCUAACGCGUUAAGUAGACCGCCCGGGAGUACGACCGCAAGGUUAAAACUCAAAUGAAUUGACGGGGGCCCGCACAAGCGGUGGAGCAUGUGGUUUAAUUCGAUGCAACGCGAAGAACCUUACCUGGUCUUGACAUCCACAGAACUUUCCAGAGAUGGAUUGGUGCCUUCGGGAACUGUGAGACAGGUGCUGCAUGGCUGUCGUCAGCUCGUGUUGUGAAAUGUUGGGUUAAGUCCCGCAACGAGCGCAACCCUUAUCCUUUGUUGCCAGCGGUUAGGCCGGGAACUCAAAGGAGACUGCCAGUGAUAAACUGGAGGAAGGUGGGGAUGACGUCAAGUCAUCAUGGCCCUUACGACCAGGGCUACACACGUGCUACAAUGGCGCAUACAAAGAGAAGCGACCUCGCGAGAGCAAGCGGACCUCAUAAAGUGCGUCGUAGUCCGGAUUGGAGUCUGCAACUCGACUCCAUGAAGUCGGAAUCGCUAGUAAUCGUGGAUCAGAAUGCCACGGUGAAUACGUUCCCGGGCCUUGUACACACCGCCCGUCACACCAUGGGAGUGGGUUGCAAAAGAAGUAGGUAGCUUAACCUUCGGGAGGGCGCUUACCACUUUGUGAUUCAUGACUGGGGUGAAGUCGUAACAAGGUAACCGUAGGGGAACCUGCGGUUGGAUCACCUCCUUA